CUCCAAUGGCAUCUGUGUCAGCACGCCCACACCAGGCCACAACAAUGGCCACCGCCAAUGUCCCAGUCCCUGGAGAGGUCUCACCCCUCACCGAGAUGCACUCAGGGCCUAUUAGCCAUUUCUUUGCUAGAAACCACACAAGUUCCGGAAUCUAGUGAAGUGGAAGAUGAAGGAUGACCAUAGGGAGUGUGUCCAGAUCAGUGAAGGAUCUUCCUGAGCUUUUCAAUCCGAGGUCAUCAUGAUGCCUCAUUAUGGAAAAAUCCCAGAAACUUCUCCUCCCUCCAGCAAAAGAACGACAUGCACUUUCAUCCUGCAGAUUUCAGAAUUGAUUCUCUGUGCUGCUAGCAUUCUCCAUAUCCCACGGAGUUGUGCACUAAAAUCCAGAGCAAUGAAUGCACCUAUGAAAAAUGAUGCUUUCGAGCCUGCCGCAUGGUGCAGUAAAUUUGCAAGUACUCUUAAUAAUAAUAAGGAUCAACAUUGACUUUAAUGGUCCUCAAAUCCGUAACGUGAUUUCAUUAGCCACCCAGC